AGAGACCUAUACACAAAGAAAAAUCCGCCGUUUGACACAGACCCUUCCGUUCAUCUUCUUCAAGAACCAAAGUUCCCUUAUUUUUCUUCUUCUUCAGCUCACCUCACAGGACCUUACCCCUUCCUUCUCCAGCUUCUGAUUUACACGCGCAUCGGAGGCCCUCCUUUUCCAAAAAGAUAAGCGUCGUUUCCUCCCGGAUUUGCUUCCUUCUCUCUCAAUCUUCAGGAGAAGCAACAGUGGCACACCUCUCAACAUUACUUCCAAAUAGACCAAGAAAGCAACCAUUACUCUUUUUUUACUUCAUUUUUCCAAUCCUCACUCUUCCAACCAGUCAAGCACAGUAAACCCUUCAGAGAACCAUAGUCAGAGUUUAUUUGUUUGGUUUUUUAAGAAUUUAUUGCUUUUCCACAUUUAUACUCGAUGCAAAGAUUAGCAACAAUUAGUAAAAUCCAAGAUGAUGCUGCAUAUUCAGUAUCUUUGUGAACUAUUGAAUAAAAAUUGUACAAUAGACCCGUUUUUUAACCAACAUCUAGAAAACCAGUGGCAUACUAGAAAACUAUUACCUCUGAUGUCUCUGUCUGCACCAUUAGAGCAGCUUUGGCUCUAGCGUUGGCAAAUUGCCAUUGAAUUUGCCGAUUAUUCAGUAGCCUCAGUUCAUGUGCAUCAAUGAUGCGAUUCUCCCCAACUUUUCCUCUUCUCACAUCGGCAGUAAAACUCAAACAUGAAGGCAUAAUGCAAGCAUUAUUAGUCGAUUGAGUUUCAGGGUGGUUUGAAUUUAUCGCUGGAGUUCGCUUGGUUUAGUCCGAGAUUUCCGGUGUCAUUGUUAUGUCAGCUGUGUUGGUUCGCUGCUGAUUUCGAAGUGAUUCGCCUGGGCUUCGAAUUUUCAUCCUCCGAUUUCGGACUGCUGUUGGUUGCUAUUUUCAUCUCAAUUGUUAGCUGGACUCACCAUAGUUAUUCUCAGCCUUUGUUCGGCCUUUAAAAUUUGCUUGUCGCUGUUUAGAUGAUGAUUUAUAGUAUUUGGGCUGAUUGCGCACCAUAAAGCUCCUAAUUCGAGUUUUUUAUUAACUGAUGCCACCCCGUUGAGUUUAACUUUUUUUUCUUUUGCUUUGUAGAAUCAUAUUGCUAAAUAGUAAAGCUAUCGCAGUUGCCAAGUUAAACAUUCUGCUAAAAUUUGUUCUUAAAAGAUACUUCUUGUAACUGUAGUUGCAAACCAAACACUUUUAACAUUUAUAUUUGUAAAUUAUAGGUUAUUUGCUAUGUCAUUUACUGCCUUUGUAAUA